CACUUCUGACCAACGGGAGCGCUACUUACGGGGACCGUUAACUAAAAAUGCAUAGUUGCUUGAGUUGUCCAUCUUCUUUUUAAAACACUGUUGAUUAAUUUUGCAUCAACAAGUUAUGAUAUGCUGGCGAUAUAUCAUGAACACCACUCUCGGUGGAGAGCUACGCAUCUUACAAUACUACUAGUACGUUUCGUGACGCAUCGAGACUAGCAAUUCAAGAUGCAUUAAGACAGCGGGCUACCAGACCAGCUUGAGAUCUACCUCAGUGGACUUCGACUCCGCAGAAGCAACUACUCUGGCUUUUGAGAUGUCUGGAGUUGCCCUAUACACUGGGAGUACUCGGGCAUGGAUCAUGCACCAAGAGCUCAAAGGACCCCUUCAAGUCUAAUCUGGACAAGUUCUCCAACUUGGGACCCAUUUCGUUGAGCUGCGAAGCAUAAAAUACUGAUUUGCAACUUUUUUGCUCUUAGUAAAAUUUAGCAGGAUACCAGUCACAGGUGCUUUUUUGGCCGCUAAUCUUUUUCUGGUAAGAAAAAUUUGCAACAUGAACUGUACAACCCAUGUGUACAUACAAGGAAAUCAACAGGAUUUCUGCACUUUGAUAAAAGUAGUUUUCUAGAAAGUGUAAGUUCCUCAAUGAUGUUUACUAUGUGUACCUGAAACAUGCACAACCCUAGUGCAAACCCUGCGGAUACUGUGGGGUUGUUUGAGUCGUCCCUGUGGAAACACAGAGGGGACUUUGUUGGGUCCCUGUGAAAAAACUGCGGCGGGUCAAUGUUGAAACCAUUGGUGUAUGAUUACACUUUGGAGAUAACAAUAAGAAGUACAUGUAGAUUUCCAAUUUCCACUCUGCUAUUUGGGUAUACUGUACACAUAUAAACUAUACAAACUAUAUAAACUAUGUGUUGGCACUGUGUGAAAGAUUCAGAUUCAUAUAACUGCCCAGCAGUUGCCCUAGGAAAAUCUUGUCCCCUGGGGGUAUUUCUGUCCCAAAAAGCUGAAAGAGGUUGAAUCAAAAGAGGGCGCUAUCAGAAGAGGUUUGUACACAGUUCGCCAUCACUGGGCACAACAUGUCCUGCCACACAGUCUAUAGUAAUAACAGAUGCAUUUACGAUGAAAAGUUCAUUUAUUUUCCUUUUAUUGGUUUCUUCAAAGCCAAAGCCUACUUUCUGUUGAACACAAGAUGUUUUUAAAGUUAACAUAAACCAUGAUUUGGAAUGCAAUUUUGAAAUAACUAGAUUUUUUACUCCUCAAACUUAAAAACUUAUAUUCCUACUAUUUACUACUCUGCAUAAUGAAGAAAUAUUCUACAUCUGGUUUAACAUUGAUCAAUAAAUAUUAUAGAUAAAUAAUCAUUAUUAUAAUGAUGGCGUCAUAAUUCAAAGAUGUUGAAAAGUAUAUACAUUUACGAAAUACAUCCAUCCCGUAUACUACUGUAUCUCGAUGGAGUUAAUUUGCCCCCCUACCCCACACCCAACGUCCACAGCAGUUGGUGGAAGCUUUUCACCACCUUCUUCUCUGACUAGGCAAAUUAUUCCUAUGGACACACUUUUCCAGAAGCAUCUCACACUCAUACGAGAGGUACGACAAAACUUGGUCAAGCCUUUGCACAUAUUCCCAAACACUCACUCCCUGUAAAUCAGUCAUUUCAUUCAUUAUUUUAGUGUGGUGAAGAGAGACAGCUCGGAUUAUCCUUACAAUCACGGUCAGGGAUGUGAAAUUGAAACAAAAAUGGAAUAACAGUCAAGACAUAGUUCAGCAUGAUUUUACUUAAUGAUACCUGCAUAGCCUACAUAACAAGAGGCACUCUAAAAUCUCCUGGGUCAGAAUAAUAUUGACCCGGAUUCCGGGUGAUGGAGCUGACCCAUUUCUAGGUCAGGUUGGCCAAGAAACAUGGUUUAAAAUUGGGGUCUUAACUCAGUGUGUACUUGACCCUUUUCUGGGUCAUCAAGACUCAUUUUCUGGGUCAGUAUGACCCAGAAAUGGGUCAGGCAUCAGACACCAGGCACUGGACUCUGAAUGUGGAUCAAUUCUGACCCGGAAGUUUUAAGAUUGUACCAAAAGCCUAAAAGUGGAGAACUGUCACAGUGUGCCUCCAUCUUCACUCAACAUAGACCCUGAUAGUUUCAAAACCACAGCUUUCGCUUCGGCUCCCGAAGCCCUGUCCCAGGUGGCUUGUGGCUCAGGCUUGAUAAGCUCCGUCUGUCUGUUUGAAGACGUGUGAGAGAAAGUGCUAAGCCCAAGCCUAAGCCGGAAGCCUAAGCCCAAGCCGUGGUUUGGAAGAGCCUAAUCAUUUAACACUGGCGUGUCAUUGCACUCGCCCCCACAAAAACACUCCACGAUCUUAUCACUCGAUCUCAAAUUCCAGCAAAGCGUUUUCGUACAGGUUACAAACAAAGGUCUCAGAUCUGUUUGGUAUACAACGUCUCUGUUCACAUAGGGGGAGCAUUCAAUGAGAAAAUGCUGUGUAGACCUUGACCGCCAUCUUUGAUAUUGUGCACGUGCGAAAGGCUAUUAUUGGCUGAUUGUGUGCAGCGCGUACUCGCGUGCACUUUUCCAUUGUACACCAAAGAUGGUGGUCAGCGACGUCAUGUUUUUAAAUUAUAGUUGAACUUAAGUAUUUACAAAAAAUACCCUAUAUAGCAGAGUCUUUUUUCGAAGGCUAAAUGACCGAGAAAGGAUGGAUUGUGCUUGGGUCAAAACGUCAUACAGGCAUAGCUCUAUGCAUACAGGCCAUAAACUAUUUGUUGCUUUUUUAGUUUUUUUUUAAAUAGGCCUAUCAUAUCUUAUGCAGAGGUCAUUUUGGUCGGUAAAGCAUUUUAAAGCGAGUAAUUAUAUUUUUUUCGUAAUUAUUUAUUUGAGAGUCAAAUUCCUUACUUCCCGUUUCUGACAGUUGUCUUUUUCUUAACCCUCUUUUUAACAAGAGAUAGGGUUCGUUGAUGAACAAUAGACCCCUUGUAUACAUGUAAAACGUAACAGAGGUCACGUACACGUAAGAACAGCUUUCGUCCAUCCAAUUGCCUUCUUAGCCUUCGUGAGGUCACUUUUUGGCCACAGUGAGGGCACUGGGCAAGGGUGACGCCAUUGGGAAGGGGUCGAUAAGUACUUCAUUGCAUCUCUGAUAAAAAGCCACCCAUGAAAUAGUCAACUAAAUAUCCUUAUACGUCGCUUAUUAUCAUAGAGCAUAGAGCAGGG